rnacentral:rRNA from 1 species
UCGGGAAUAUUGCACAAUGGAGGAAACUCUGAUGCAGUGACGCCGCGUAUAGGAGGAAGGUUUUCGGAUUGUAAACUAUUGUCGUUAGGGAAGAAAAAAGACAGUACCUAAGGAGGAAGCUCCGGCUAACUACGUGCCAGCAGCCGCGGUAAUACGUAGGGAGCAAGCGUUAUCCGGAUUUAUUGGGUGUAAAGGGUGCGUAGACGGGACAACAAGUUAGUUGUGAAAUCCCACGGCUUAACUGUGGAACUGCAACUAAAACUAUUGUUCUUGAGUGUCGGAGAGGAAAGUGGAAUUCCUAGUGUAGCGGUGAAAUGCGUAGAUAUUAGGAGGAACACCGGUGGCGAAGGCGACUUUCUGGACGAUAACUGACGUUGAGGCACGAAAGUGUGGGGAGCAAACAGG